UUUAUAAACCUUACCUUUAUUUUAAUGACGAAACCUUUACAGUUGUAACAUUCGCUUACUUAGCCACUUCUGUGAUUUGACAUCUCUGUAUCAAAAUGAGUUAGAAUUAAAACAGAAACACUUACUGGAGGACAUUUACAAUAUGUUUCAGAAGAAAUAUUUAUCUAUUCAUUUACUUAUCAUGAGAUCGAGUCACAUUAUUAACUGCACAAUAAGGGAAUGGAAUAGGUAAAAUAAGAAUUAUUCAUAACUUC
rnacentral:lncRNA from 1 species